CUAGUUCCUCUGAGGGGACAUAACACAAUUGGUGGUUCCCAUACCAGGAAUCGAACCCCGGCCACCUGGUGUUAUUCUGCAGCAGCAGAAAGGACGAGCUUUUGUCGUGGCUCAUGGUGUCACACAGACACAAGACCUGAGGCUGCUAGUCAUCAAAUGGAAGCUCUCUCUGAGCCUUUCACAGUGCUCACUUUGCUCAUGUCGACUUGGGGAAAGAGGGGGAAACUCUUAUUUUAGCACGUGAAAAGGCUCCAGACGGGGACAUGAAGGCAAGCUCUUCACAUUGGACACAAUUGACUUUGAAAGCCAGCAUCUCUCUGAGAGUAGAAGGGAGUGUUUGCCGGGAUGUUGGCAUCAUGUUUUAAUUGAAUUGACUGUCAGCAGGUCUCAAAGGGACAAGUUGUGUUUCACAAAAUAAACUUAUUUUGGAAACACUCUUGUAGGAUCCUGCUGAAGUAACCCAGGCACAAACAUGAAAAAAGGUCAAAUGGCUGCUAGAGUUACUCAGGUUAUAGCAAAGUUCAAGGCAAAUGUUUUUUUAAACUGUAAAAUAAAUACAAAUAUUGCUUUCUAAUCAGAAUAGCCGUAUUUGAAU